rnacentral:rRNA from 1 species
AAUCUGGCGUCUUUGGCGUCCGAGUUGUAAUUUGCAGAGGGCGCUUUGGCAUUGGCAGCGGUCCAAGUUCCUUGGAACAGGACGUCACAGAGGGUGAGAAUCCCGUACGUGGUCGCUAGCCUUUACCGUGUAAAGCCCCUUCGACGAGUCGAGUUGUUUGGGAAUGCAGCUCUAAAUGGGAGGUAAAUUUCUUCUAAAGCUAAAUACUGGCCAGAGACCGAUAGCGCACAAGUAGAGUGAUCGAAAGAUGAAAAGCACUUUGGAAAGAGAGUUAAAAAGCACGUGAAAUUGUUGAAAGGGAAGCGCUUGCAGCCAGACUUGCCUGUAGUUGCUCAUCCGGGUUUUUACCCGGUGCACUCUUCUACGGGCAGGCCAGCAUCAGUUUGGGCGGUUGGAUAAAGGUCUCUGUCAUGUACCUCCUCUCGGGGAGAUCUUAUAGGGGAGACGACAUGCAACCAGCCUGGACUGAGGUCCGCGCAUCUGCUAGGAUGCUGGCGUAAUGGCUGUAAGCGGCCCGUCU